rnacentral:rRNA from 1 species
UUUGAUUAUGGCUCAGAUUGAACGCUGGCAGGAUGCUUUACAUGCAAGUCGAACGGCAGCACGGACUUCGGUCUGGUGGCGAGUGGCGAACAGGUGAGUAAUGUAUCGGAACGUGCUAGUAGCGGGGAUAACUACGCGAAAGCGACAACUAAUACCGCACAUACGCCCUUCGAAGAAGAGCGGGGACCUUCGGGCCUCGCACUAUUAAACGGCCGAUAUCAGUUAGCUAGUUGGUGGGGUAACGGCUCGCAAGGCGACGAUCCGUAGCUGGUUUGAGAGGACGACCAGCCACACUGGGACUGAGACACGGCCCAGACCUACGGGAAGGCAGCAGUGGGGAAUUUUGGACAAUGGGGGAAACCCUGAUCCAGCCAUCCCGCGUGUGCGAUGAAGGCCUUCGGGUUGUAAAGCACUUUUGGCAGGAAAACGGCACGGGAUAUUGCCCGUGCAACUGACGGUACCUGCAGAAUAAGCACCGGCUAACUACGUGCCAGCAGCCGCGGUAAUACGUAAGGGUGCAAGCGUUAAUCGGAAUUACACUGGGCGUAAAGCGUGCACCCAGGCGGUUCGGGAAAGAAGAUGUGAAAUCCAGAGCUUAACUUUGGAACUGCAUUUUAACUACCGAGCUAAGUGUGUCAGGGAGGUGGAAUUCCGCGUGUAGCAGUGAAAUGCGUAGAUAUGCGGAGGAACACCGAUAGCGGCAGCCUCCUGGGAUAACACUGACGCUCAUGCACACGAAAGCGUGGGGAGCAAACAGGAUUAGAUACCCUGGUAGUCCACGCCCUAAACUUGAUGUCAACUAGCUGUUGGGGCCUUCGGGCCUUGGUAGCGCAGCUAACGCGUGAAGUUGACCGCCUGCCUUAGGAGUACGGUCGCAAGAUUAAAACUCAAAGAAAUUGACGGGGACCCGCACAAGCGGUGGAUGAUGUGGAUUAAUUCGAUGCAACGCGAAAAACCUACCCUUGACAUGUCUGGAAUCCCAGAAGAGAUUUGGGAGUGCUCGCAAGAGAACCAGGUUACAGGUGCUGCAUGGCUGUCGUCAGCUCGUGUCGUGAGAUGUUGGGUUAAGUCCCGCAACGAGCGCAACCCUUGUCAUUAGUUGCUACGAAGGGCACUCUGUGAGACUGCCGGUGACAAACCGGAGGAAGGUGGAUGACGUCAAGUCCUCAUGGCCCUUAUGGGUAGGGCUUCACACGUCAUACAAUGGUCAGACAGAAGUUCGUAACUGCGAAGUCAAUAGAAGCGAUCGUGUCGAUCGCAGUCUGCAACUCGACGUGUCGGAAUCAUGUAGUAAUCGCAGUCAGCAUGUCGCAGACGAUACGUUCCACAGUCUUGCUUUUUCGCCCUGUCUACCAUGAGUGGGUUUACGAAGUAGUUAGCCUAACCGUAAGGAGGGCGAUUACCACGAUAGGAUUCAUGACUGGGGUGAAGUCGCUAAAGGUAG